rnacentral:lncRNA from 1 species
CCAUGGAUGAAUCAUAAAAAUAUCUACUAACUUUUGAUUAAUGGUCCAAUUACCAUAAUCGGACCUCAAGUUUUGAAUUCCAUAGCUAUUUAAUCCUUCUAGCUACUAGAAUUCAACUUUUACAUUUUAUGCGAUUUGGUCCUUCCCAUAAUUAAACACAUAAUUAGUAAAAUUUUCUUAUUAGAAUUCUCACAUGACAC